AGCAAUGUAACAAUAUUUUUUCAAACCUCGUAGGUAUAUUUUUAUUUAGCUGAUAUUAUACUCAAGUAACUAUUGGUUUCGUACAGGCAGAGCCAUCUAUCGGCAGGAUUGUAUUGAUAACCCAGUUUGCUGUUAGCUAGAAUGACAAAAGAUGGCGUGUCGAUCGUCGUUAAUUUAUUUCCUUCCAAAAUCCCUUUUGAAUUUUCAUUUAUUAAAAAUAAAACUCAAUUUAUUAUUGUAUUGUUAGUUUUCGUUCCUUUUUGGAAAUAUUUUAUUACCCUCUUUAAGACAGAAGUUAAAGUUGUUGUCUAUAGGCGAAUGCAUCUCGUCACGUAUCUGUGGGCCGAGCUGUCAGCCGACACUUUGCAUAUUGGAAAGGAUGUAGACGGGUGGUUUUCAAAUUCUUCAGGGCCAAUGCGCCACAUUCUAAUUUUUAAAUCGCGAAUUAAUCGCAUAAUCAUGAUUUUAAUUUUAUAAAAUUACUGAGGACCCCUUCCAUUGACAAGAUUGCACGGAACCACAAGCCGGCUUCUUUUCUGGAAUGGGUACGUUUCACAUUCGUUCGAGUAAUAUUUUAACCCUCGCUAAGGGUUGGUGGAAGCCUCAGGGUCAUUGUUUUUUUUUAAACCUAUUUCAGGUCCUCAGAUUUGGAGGUUAACGUUCGAAGACAGAGCAGAGCUGAUGCUUCCCGAGCCUGGACCGGUGGACAGGAGGCUGUGACGAUCGGUAUGGAAGAGCUCCCAUUCCGUGGCUGCAGCGGCCACCUCUCCUCAACUCGGUUAGACGUCCCCAAGGUCAGAGCGUUCCUCGUUUUUUUUAAAGGCGCCCAACAUAAAUAAAUUUUUUAAUUAAUUAAUAAUUUACCUUUUACCCGGUCUUCCAGUACCAGAACUACUGACUCACCCCUAUGCUCUAACUUUUAGGUAUUUGUUUUUUUUUAAGUAAAUAAACUGAGCUAGCGAUAUAAUUUACAAUAAGUAGUAUAAUAAGGGUAGUUUCAUUCCCUACCAGUUAGGCGUUACUAAGUAGUGUAUUAUUACUCUCGAAAUUAUUUUCAAAAAGAAAAUUUAUUAAAAAGUUAUUUUCUAUAUAAAUACCUAGUUUACUUUAUUUACCCUUAGGUAAUCCCCGAAAUUGUAACAGUGGCAGCCCUACGUGUGGCUUUAGAGAGUUCAGACUGGAAGACCGUUGGUUGCGUAGGUACCUAUUUAUAAAUUUUCUUAAACAUAGUAUUGGUGAUUAUUUACAUACCUACCUAAGAUUGUUGGCAAAAUCAAUUCCUUACUAAAAAUAAAGGAAAGGUUUCCGUAUUACUUUCUUUGUGUGUUAAAUGUAUAGUACCAUAUAAAUAGAUAAUUAUUACCUCUUGUUAGUUGGUGGGUACCAAAUCUGGUUAUUUUUAUUCAUUGCCAACAGUACUAUAUCUACCUACAAAACCAUUUUGUCUCUUUAUAUUAGUGAAAAGUAAGAAAAAUUUGCUUGUAUUUAAUUCUGAAUAGUACCAAACGCUUGGUACCUACUGCAUUUUGUAAUUCGUAAAUCAGGAUUUUUUUUUACAUUUUGAUGUGAAAGGUGUGACUAGCAAAUUAACUUUAUUUUAUAUUGUAUUUAACUAGACUACAUAUUUUUCUAGAAGGUGGUUAAUUUUAAUUGUUCAUAGUUCUUACCUAAUGAUAAUAGUUGAAGUAAUUUAAAGUACCUACAGCCAGUCGUAAUAAUUGGUGUCUUGUUUUUCUAAAUUACCUAUUUUAUUCUUCCUACCUUAACGAUAUUGAAGUUGGUGUUGUAAAUUUAGUACAAAUAUUUAUGUAGGUAUUUUAAUUGAGUUUUACUACAUAAAGUUAAACAUGUAAAGAGCAUACAGGGUGAUUAGAAAAAAAAAUUAAUAAUAAUAAUUUAACCUAACUUUUAUAUUUAAAUAAUUGGGUGAUUGUUUGGACCUUUUAUUAUUUAAAUUAGUCCAGCGUGCACAUUUAAUAUUUUUCGUGGGUUUCCUUUGUGGUUGAAAAUACUUUAGAAUAAAUAUUUUGUUGUGAAAGUGUUCGUGAUCUAAGUUGUUUACGAGGCGUUAUCUUUAUUACCUACUUUCCGGUGGGUUAGAUUUAACAAGAGUUUUUCCAUAUUGUUGUUACGUUUAAGGAGUAGGUAUUCAUUUAUUAGCAGUUAUCGGUGAUAGGUAGUUUUUUUUGUUUUGAUGUAUAGUAGGCGUUUUUUUUAUGUGUUGGAAGUGGGAGUUAAGUACAUUGUGUCCGGAUGGUACUAAUACGUCCGUACACAAGUAUUACCUUUUCGAUGUUUGGUGGUGAGUGGACGAUUUAAAAGUUCUCUUCACGUAGUUUUCUGGGUGCUGGCGUUUUAAACCAGCAUUUCAGCUUCACUGGCUGGUCGGAUUCUUGCGGAUUUAAACGGAGAAUUCUUAAUAGCAGUGUUGUACCCUUGUUGAUGCUUUGCGAUAUGACUUAAAUCAUAUGCGUGAACGUUGGCGUUCUUUUGUGUUGUCGGACCGACAGACUUGCGUCGCCUGAGACGCGGUCUGUACAGUCAACCCUUGUACUUAUGUCUAAUGUUGUGUCGAAACGUUCCGUCUUGUGUCGUACAUAGACGCAGCCGGUAUAUACGCUUCGUUGUUCUGGUGUUAUUGUCUGUUCUUUGUAUUCUUAGCUGUCACCGAUAUUUGUUAGGGAAAUUUCAUUUAGCUAUAAGCCGUCUUCCGUUAUAUCGCUUGGACGUACAGCCCGCUGUCUGGUAUAGCUCGCUGUGCCGCCAAGAAAUAUAGACGAUGCGACGUAAUGUAGUAAUUUACCUAAAAAAAAAAGGGGCUAUUCUUAUCUGGUUUAGUGCGUGGGUUCGAUUUGGAUGGUUUUUUUGUUAUCGAUUAUAGAUUUCGAGUUGUAGCUGUUAUAUUACCCAUAUUUCCUGUAGUUUGGAGCUGGGGACCAGCUCAAAAUUUUGCCUGCGUCAAAAUUUUCUCUGGGGAGGGGAGUACUGUAACAAUAUUUUUUCAAACCUCGUAGGUAUAUUUUUAUUUAGCUGAUAUUAUACUCAAGUAACUAUUGGUUUCGUACAGGCAGAGCCAUCUAUCGGCAGGAUUGUAUUGAUAACCCAGUUUGCUGUUAGCUAGAAUGACAAAAGAUGGCGUGUCGAUCGUCGUUAAUUUAUUUCCUUCCAAAAUCCCUUUUGAAUUUUCAUUUAUUAAAAAUAAAACUCAAUUUAUUAUUGUAUUGUUAGUUUUCGUUCCUUUUUGGAAAUAUUUUAUUACCCUCUUUAAGACAGAAGUUAAAGUUGUUGUCUAUAGGCGAAUGCAUCUCGUCACGUAUCUGUGGGCCGAGCUGUCAGCCGACACUUUGCAUAUUGGAAAGGAUGUAGACGGGUGGUUUUCAAAUUCUUCAGGGCCAAUGCGCCACAUUCUAAUUUUUAAAUCGCGAAUUAAUCGCAUAAUCAUGAUUUUAAUUUUAUAAAAUUACUGAGGACCCCUUCCAUUGACAAGAUUGCACGGAACCACAAGCCGGCUUCUUUUCUGGAAUGGGUACGUUUCACAUUCGUUCGAGUAAUAUUUUAACCCUCGCUAAGGGUUGGUGGAAGCCUCAGGGUCAUUGUUUUUUUUUAAACCUAUUUCAGGUCCUCAGAUUUGGAGGUUAACGUUCGAAGACAGAGCAGAGCUGAUGCUUCCCGAGCCUGGACCGGUGGACAGGAGGCUGUGACGAUCGGUAUGGAAGAGCUCCCAUUCCGUGGCUGCAGCGGCCACCUCUCCUCAACUCGGUUAGACGUCCCCAAGGUCAGAGCGUUCCUCGU
rnacentral:lncRNA from 1 species